rnacentral:rRNA from 1 species
AGCGAACGCUGGCGGCAGGCCUAACACAUGCAAGUCGAACGGACCCUUCGGGGUUAGUGGCGGACGGGUGAGUAACACGUGGGAACGUGCCUUUAGGUUCGGAAUAGCUCCUGGAAACGGGUGGUAAUGCCGAAUGUGCCCUUCGGGGGAAAGAUUUAUCGCCUUUAGAGCGGCCCGCGUCUGAUUAGCUAGUUGGUGAGGUAAUGGCUCACCAAGGCGACGAUCAGUAGCUGGUCUGAAAGGAUGACCAGCCACAUUGGGACUGAGACACGGCCCAAACUCCUACGGGAGGCAGCAGUGGGGAAUCUUGCGCAAUGGGCGAAAGCUUGACGCAGCCAUGCCGCGUGGAUGAUGAAGGUCUUAGGAUUGUAAAAUCCUUUCACCGGUGAAGAUAAUGACUGUAGCCGGAGAAGAAGCCCCGGCUAACUUCGUGCCAGCAGCCGCGGUAACAC